UCCCAGCUCGUCUAGUGGUCAAGAUACGGCACUUUCACUGCUGAGACCGGGGUUCGAUUCCCCGGCCGGGAG
rnacentral:tRNA from 1 species